rnacentral:rRNA from 1 species
UACGUAGGGUGCGAGCGUUGUCCGGAAUUAUUGGGCGUAAAGAGCUCGUAGGCGGUGUGUCACGUCGGCCGUGAAAACCUGCAGCUUAACUGUGGGCGUGCGGUCGAUACGGGCAGACUGGAGGUAUGCAGGGGAGAACGGAAUUCCUGGUGUAGCGGUGAAAUGCGCAGAUAUCAGGAGGAACACCGGUGGCGAAGGCGGCAUCCUGGACCGACACUGACGCUGAGGAGCGAAAGCCAGGGGAGCAAACGGG